UACAGAGGGUGGCGAGCGUUAAUUCGGAAUUAGCUAGGGCGUAAAGCGUGCGUAGACGGUAGCGUAAGUCAGAUGGUGAAACCCCGGGCUCAACCUGGGAACUGACAUUUGAGACUGCUCUGCUCGGGUGCGGAAGAGGGAAGCGGAAUUUCCGGUGUAGCGGUAGAAAUGCGUAGAUAGUCGGAAGGAACACCAGUGGCGAAAGCGGCUUCCUGGUCCGACACCGACGUUCAGGCACGAAAGCGUGGGGAGCAAACAGG
rnacentral:rRNA from 1 species